UCGGCUAACUCCGUGCCAGCAGCCGCGGUAAUACGGAGGAUCCGAGCGUUAUCCGGAUUUAUUGGGUUUAAAGGGAGCGUAGGCGGAAGCUUAAGUCAGUUGUGAAAGUUUGAGGCUCAACCUUAAAAUUGCAGUUGAAACUGGGUUUCUUGAGUGCGGCAUAGGUGGGCGGAAUUCGUGGUGUAGCGGUGAAAUGCUUAGAUAUCACGAAGAACUCCGAUUGCGAAGGCAGCUCACUGGAGCGUAACUGACGCUGAUGCUCGAAAGUGUGGGUAUCAAACAGGAUUAGAUACCCUGGUAGUCCACACAGUAAACUAUGAAUACUCGCUGUUUGCGAUACAAUGCAAGCGGCCAAGCGAAAGCGUUAAGUAUUCCACCUGGGGCCGGCAACGGUGAAACUCAAAGGAAUUGACGGGGGCCCGCACAAGCGGAGGAACAUGUGGUUUAAUUCGAUGAUACGCGAGGAACCUUACCCGGGCUUAAAUUGCACCUGAAUGCUUUGGAAACAGAGUAGCCGCAAGGCAGGUGUGAAGGUGCUGCAUGGUUGUCGUCAGCUCGUGCCGUGAGGUGUCGGCUUAAGUGCCAUAACGAGCGCAACCCUUAUUUACAGUUACUAACAGUUCGGCUGAGGACUCUGUAGAGACUGCCGUCGUAAGAUGUGAGGAAGGUGGGGAUGACGUCAAAUCAGCACGGCCCUUACGUCCGGGGCUACACACGUGUUACAAUGGGUGGUACAGAAGGCAGCUACACGGCGACGUGAUGCCAAUCCCCAAAACCACUCUCAGUUCGGAUUGGAGUCUGCAACCCGACUCCAUGAAGCUGGAUUCGCUAGUAAUCGCGCAUCAGCCACGGCGCGGUGAAUACGUUCCCGGGCCUUGUACACACCGCCCGUCAAGCCAUGAAAGCCGGGGG
rnacentral:rRNA from 1 species